rnacentral:rRNA from 1 species
AUUGAACGCUGGCGGCAGGCCUAACACAUGCAAGUCGAACGGUAACGGGGAUCAGCUUGCUGAUUCGCUGACGAGUGGCGGACGGGUGAGUAAUGUCUGGGAAACUGCCUGAUGGAGGGGGAUAACUACUGGAAACGGUAGCUAAUACCGCAUAACGUCGCAAGACCAAAGAGGGGGACCUUCGGGCCUCUUGCCAUCGGAUGUGCCCAGAUGGGAUUAGCUAGUAGGUGGGGUAACGGCUCACCUAGGCGACGAUCCCUAGCUGGUCUGAGAGGAUGACCAGCCACACUGGAACUGAGACACGGUCCAGACUCCUACGGGAGGCAGCAGUGGGGAAUAUUGCACAAUGGGCGCAAGCCUGAUGCAGCCAUGCCGCGUGUAUGAAGAAGGCCUUCGGGUUGUAAAGUACUUUCAGCGGGGAGGAAGGGAGUAAAGUUAAUACCUUUGCUCAUUGACGUUACCCGCAGAAGAAGCACCGGCUAACUCCGUG